rnacentral:rRNA from 1 species
UACAGAGGUCUCAAGCGUUGUUCGGAUUCAUUGGGCGUAAAGGGCGCGUAGGCGGCGUGGUAAGUCGGGUGUGAAAUCUCGGAGCUUAACUCCGAAACUGCAUUCGAUACUGCCGUGCUUGAGGACUGGAGAGGAGACUGGAAUUUACGGUGUAGCGGUGAAAUGCGUAGAUAUCGUAAGGAAGACCAGUGGCGAAGGCGGGUCUCUGGACAGUUCCUGACGCUGAGGCACGAAAGCCAGGGGAGCGAACGGG